AUUUGUCUUUUAAUUGGGGAAUGGAAUGAAUGGGUUGACGGAAAUUGAUUGUCUCUUUAAAAUAUAGCGAAGUUUCCUUUUAAAUGAAAAGGUUAAAAUUUUUGUAAAAGACGAGAAGACCCUGUCGAGCUGUAUUAAGAAAAACAAUUAUAAUUGGUUUUUUUGAAGUGUAGUUGGGGAAAGCUGGAUUUUAAAUAAUAAGUCUAAGAUAUACGGACCCUUAUUGUGAGAUUAAAAGCAAAAGCUACCGCAGGGAUAACAGCGUAAUUUUUCUUGAGAGAUCUUAUCUAGGGAAAAGUUUGCGACCUCGAUGUUGGAUUAAAAAGACCUUUUGGCGCAGAAGCUAAGGGGGUAAGACUGUUCGUCUUUUAAAAUUUUACGUGAUCUGAUUCCAGACCGGA
rnacentral:rRNA from 1 species